AUUGAACGCUGGCGGCAUGCCUUACACAUGCAAGACGAACGGUAACGGGCCUUCGGGUGCCGACGAGUGGCGAACGGGUGAGUAAUACAUCGGAACGUGCCCGAUCGUGGGGGAUAACGAGGCGAAAGCUUUGCUAAUACCGCAUACGAUCUACGGAUGAAAGCAGGGGACCGCAAGGCCUUGCGCGGACGGAGCGGCCGAUGGCAGAUUAGGUAGUUGGUGGGAUAAAAGCUUACCAAGCCGACGAUCUGUAGCUGGUCUGAGAGGAUGAUCAGCCACACUGGGACUGAGACACGGCCCAGACUCCUACGGGAGGCAGCAGUGGGGAAUUUUGGACAAUGGGCGCAAGCCUGAUCCAGCCAUGCCGCGUGCAGGAUGAAGGCCUUCGGGUUGUAAACUGCUUUUGUACGGAACGAAAAGCCUUCUUUUAAUACAGGAGGGUCAUGACGGUACCGUAAGAAUAAGCACCGGCUAACUACGUG
rnacentral:rRNA from 1 species